UGGGGAAUAUUGGGCAAUGGGCGCAAGCCUGACCCAGCAACGCCGCGUGAAGGAAGAAGGCUUUCGGGUUGUAAACUUCUUUUCUUGGGGACGAAGAAAGUGACGGUACCCAAGGAAUAAGCCACGGCUAACCUACGUGCCAGCAGCCGCGGUAAUACGUAGGUGGCAAGCGUUAUCCGGAUUUAUUGGGUGUAAAGGGCGUGUAGGCGGGAAUGCAAGUCAGAUGUGAAACUAUGGGCUCAACCCAUAGCCUGCAUUUGAAACUGUAUUUCUUGAGUGCUGGAGAGGCAAUCGGAAUUCCGUGUGUAGCGGUGAAAUGCGUAGAUAUACGGAGGAACACCAGUGGCGAAGGCGGAUUGCUGGACAGUAACUGACGCUGAGGCGCGAAAGCGUGGGGAGCAAACAGGAUUAGAUACCC
rnacentral:rRNA from 1 species